GAUGGGAGGAACACCUUGGGAAGAUGGAACUUGCUGUUGGAGCCCAAUUCAGAUGUUGCCUUUUGUGACAACCAUUAAGAAACCCUAAAGACUGAGGUGCAGUGGGUUGAGUCAGCCGUGACAGGAGCUUCCUUCUCUGGGAUUUCUGUUCCAUCUCCCAAAACUACGUGCAGCCUAGCUGUCAUGCUGUGACUGGUGCUAGCUGUGGCUGGGUGCUGUUUGAAGCUAAGGUAAAGAAUCUGAGGUGCAGAGACAUUGCACAGAGCCUGACUGAGGUUUCCCAGCUGGGACUCAGGAGCAGGACAGGUGGUCUGGCUAUGGAACCUGUACACUUAACUAAGAACAAGCACCUAGAGGAGCAAGAGCAAGAACAGCUUCAUGUGGCACUGUGGUAUGCAGAAUUCCAAGACCACCUUUGACUCCUGGAACUGAAUCAGACACAACAUUGCCUCAUGUCCAUGGUUAUGUCACCUUGCCUGGCAAUCAGGAUUUUGGAGAUAUAAUAAAGGUUACAAAU